rnacentral:rRNA from 1 species
UAGGGACUUUUCCACAAUGGGCGCAAGCCUGAUGGAGCAACACCGCGUGAGUGAAGAAGGGUUUCGGCUCGUAAAGCUCUGUUGUUGGAGAAGAACGUGCGUGAGAGUAACUGUUCACGCAGUGACGGUAUCCAACCAGCAAGUCCAGGCUAACUACGUGCCACCAGCCGCGGUAAUAAGUAGGUGGCAAGCGUUAUCCGGAUUUAUGUGGCGUAAAGCGAGCGCAGGCGGUUGCUUAGGUCUGAUGUGAAAGCCUUCGGCUUAACCGAAGAAGUGCAUCGGAAACCGGGCGACUUGAGUGCAGAAGAGGACAGUGGAACUCCAUGUGUAGCGGUGGAAUGCGUAGAUAUAUGGAAGAACACCAGUGGCGAAGGCGGCUGUCUGGUCUGCAACUGACGCUGAGGCUCGAAAGCAUGGGUAGCGAACAGG